rnacentral:tRNA from 1 species
GUCAGGAUGGCCGAGCGGUCUAAGGCGCCAGACUCAAGGUUUAAAAAUCUUGCCUCUCUCAAGCAGAGGUUCGUACGAGCGUUCUGGUCCUCUCUGAGGGCGUGGGUUCGAAUCCCACUUCUGACA